UGUAGUUAUCAGCAACACAUCUUUUGACAGCAAACCAUGUUUUUUUCUUGAUAUUGUCCCAUAACUUUUGUAGCACUUCCCAUAGUAUGCACCUGCUAUUAUUGACAUUAUUGUAUGUAAUCUGUCAAUAUAACACCAUGGUUGUCCCAAAACCUAGACAAAAUAUGACCUUAUUGGUUGAUUGUUGCAUUUUACCUUUUUUGGAUGUGGGUGACAAGGCACAUUUCCAUGUUUUGCUCAUUGUUUUGGUCUUAGGUCAUAUAGGUAAACUCUGCAUUCAUCCAAGGUCACUAAUCACUGUAAAACUUGACCUAAUUUUGUAGAUACUGGUCCAAAAAGAUUUUGUAUGCAUUCCAUGAUUUACUGUUUUUGGAAAGAAAUCUGCAACUUGAGAACCUACUGUAUAGUCACCUUGUUUGUGUGUAAUGUCAUGCAGUAUGCUGUUGACUGAUCAUCUACUAAUGUUCAUCUCCCUAUCUAAAAAAUUAACUGCCACAUGUCUCAACUUUUGACAUCACACUUUGUUCUGUGGCUGUUGAUGAAAGCCUUCUCUUGGGUCAUCCUGAGACUGAUGUGACCACAUUUGAAUUUCUGUUUUCAUUGUUUCACAUAGUCUUAUAUAAUAGACAUUCCUUAUUAUACAUAGCUGACAUAGCUUCAUGUAUUGUUUGUGCAGUUUUCCCUUGAAGAUGAAGGAAUUGCAUCAUUGCUCAAUGCUCA
rnacentral:lncRNA from 1 species